CCCUUUGUGAACAUACCUAUAACUGUUGCUUCGGCGGGUAGGGUCUCCGUGACCCUCCCGGCCUCCCGCCCCCGGGCGGGUCGGCGCCCGCCGGAGGAUAACCAAACUCUGAUUUAACGACGUUUCUUCUGAGUGGUACAAGCAAAUAAUCAAAACUUUUAACAACGGAUCUCUUGGUUCUGGCAUCGAUGAAGAACGCAGCGAAAUGCGAUAAGUAAUGUGAAUUGCAGAAUUCAGUGAAUCAUCGAAUCUUUGAACGCACAUUGCGCCCGCCAGCAUUCUGGCGGGCAUGCCUGUUCGAGCGUCAUUUCAACCCUCAAGCUCUGCUUGGUGUUGGGGCCCUACAGCUGAUGUAGGCCCUCAAAGGUAGUGGCGGACCCUCCCGGAGCCUCCUUUGCGUAGUAACUUUACGUCUCGCACUGGGAUCCGGAGGGACUCUUGCCGUAAAACCCCCCAAUUUUCCAAAGGUUGACCUCGGAUCAGGUAGGAAUACCCGCUGAACUUAAGCAUAUCAAUAAGCGGAGGAAAAGAAACCAACAGGGAUUGCCUCAGUAACGGCGAGUGAAGCGGCAACAGCUCAAAUUUGAAAUCUGGCCCUAGGCCCGAGUUGUAAUUUGCAGAGGAUGCUUUUGGUGCGGUGCCUUCCAAGUUCCCUAGAACGGGACGCCAGAGAGGGUGAGAGCCCCGUACAGUUGGACACCAAGCCUUUGUAAAGCUCCUUCGACGAGUCGAGUAGUUUGGGAAUGCUGCUCAAAAUGGGAGGUAUAUUUCUUCUAAAGCUAAAUACCGGCCAGAGACCGAUAGCGCACAAGUAGAGUGAUCGAAAGAUGAAAAGCACUUUGAAAAGAGGGUUAAACAGCACGUGAAAUUGUUAAAAGGGAAGCGCUUGUGACCAGACUUGCGUCCGGUGAAUCACCCAGCUCUCGCGGCUGGGGCACUUCGCCGGCUCAGGCCAGCAUCAGCUCGCUGUCGGGGACAAAAGCUUCAGGAACGUAGCUCUCUUCGGGGAGUGUUAUAGCCUGUUGCAUAAUACCCUUCGGCGGGCUGA
rnacentral:rRNA from 1 species